rnacentral:misc_RNA from 1 species
GAUGAAGAACGCAGCGAAAUGCGAUACUUGGUGUGAAUUGCAGAAUCCCGUGAACCAUCGAGUCUUUGAACGCAAGAUGCGCCCGAAGCCAUUAGGCCGAGGGCACGCCUGCCUGGGCGUCACACGUCGUUGCCCCCCCAUCUACUCCUUCGGGAUUGCGGGGGGCGGAUGAUGGCCUCCCGUGCGCCUCGUCGCGCGGUUGGCAUAAAUGCCAAGUCCUCGGCGACGCACGCCACGACAAUCGGUGGUUGCGAAACCUCGGUUGCCCGUCGUGUGCGGUCGUCGCGCAUCGAGGGCUCGAAAAAAUUGCCGGGCUCCGGCUCGGCUUUCAACGCGACCCCAGGUCAGGCGGGGUUACCCGCUGAAUUUAAGCAUAUCAAUAAGCGGAGGA